CAGGAGGAGAGAGCAGCAGGUCACAGGCUGAAGUGGCCAGAUUCUAACCUUGGCUUUGGUCAGUACUACAUUGCAAAGCAUGUGAGUUACUCAUGUCUUUGUACAGAAGAAAGAAAAGAGAGAGCGAUGAACACUAGAAGCUAUUUACAUGAAAUUUAGCACUAAAUGACAGGAAAAAUGCAUAAUUUAAGAUUUAUUUAAGCUGGAUUUUUUUUUUCCUUUUAAUUUCAAAAACUAUGUAUUGUUGUUUUGGUUGGCAUCCUGACUUAACCGUGGAUAUGUUAGCAGCCCCUAAGAAGCAGCUCAUCCAUAUGCUGAAGAAGACUGUGCGCUCAGUUUCCUGCAGAGUGCUGGAUGAAGCAUGGAAGCAGGCAGGCUGUGCAGCAAACUGAGACAUUCUGUGCCUCUGGUGCUGCUGUGUAAUGUAAGAAAAUAAGAAGUUCCUUGUAUUUGAAUGGAGAUUGUGCCUGUUUGUGCAGCCCUUAUUGUAUACACUGUCAGAAGAGUUGACUCCCUAUAUCUAAAAUUCAUCCAAAUCCUCUACAAGUGACACAGGAGAUGUUGUAGACAAAAGUUAUACUUAGACCAAAAUAAAAACUAUCCAAAGAGUAAAGAAAAAUGGAACACGCAAUAGAUGUUUGUGGAAAAUUCCAGUCACUACCUGGAUCUGGAUACAAUUGGCAAAGAGGACAAAAGAACUAAUGGCAUGGAUUUAAUGGAUCAAGUUUCUCUUCUGCAGUUCAUCUCUUCAUUAAUGGCCCAUGAAAAGUGAAGACCAAGAUAUUUGGACCAAAGAGCUGCCAGAGACUAAACCAACCAUUACCUCUUGAAAGAUUGCAUCAUUGGUGCUUUAAAUUAAAGCUUUAUUGCCAUUGUAAAA